GUAUAAAUCACCUCGGAUCUCAUUUGUAUGCAGGUUCUGAUUUUGCAGGUCUGGGUAAGAUUCUAUGUUUCUAACAAGCUCCCAGGUGAUGUCAGU
rnacentral:miRNA from 1 species